ACUGCUCAGUAACACGUGGAUAACCUGCCCUAAGGAAGGGGAUAACCUCGGGAAACUGAGGAUAAUACCCUAUAGGUUACAGACGCUGGAAUGCCCUGUAACCGAAAGUUCCGGCGCCUUAGGAUGGAUCUGCGGCCGAUUAGGUUGUUGUUGGGGUAACGGCCCAACAAGCCGAUAAUCGGUACGGGUUGUGGGAGCAAGAGCCCGGAGUUGGAUUCUGAGACAUGAAUCCAGGCCCUACGGGGCGCAGCAGGCGCGAAAACUUUACAAUGCGGGAAACCGUGAUAAGGGAACCCCGAGUGCCUGUAUAUGCAGGCUGUCCAGGUGUCUAAAAAACACCUGAAGAAAGGGCCGGGCAAGACCGGUGCCAGCCGCCGCGGUAAUACCGGCGGCUCGAGUGGUGGCCACUUUUAUUGGGCUUAAAGCGUUCGUAGCUGGGUUGUUAAGUCUCUUGGGAAAUCUGACGGCUCAACCGUCAGGCGUCCAAGGGAUACUGGCAAUCUUGGAACCGGGAGAGGUGAGGGGUACUUCGGGGGUAGGAGUGAAAUCCUGUAAUCCUCGAGGGACCACCUGUGGCGAAGGCGCCUCACCAGAACGGCUUCGACAGUGAGGGACGAAAGCUGGGGGAGCAAACCGGAUUAGAUACCCGGGUAGUCCCAGCUGUAAACGAUGCGCGUUAGGUGUAUCGGUGACCACGAGUCACCGAGGUGCCGAAGGGAAACCGUGAAACGUGCCGCCUGGGAAGUACGGUCGCAAGGCUGAAACUUAAAGGAAUUGGCGGGGGAGCAC
rnacentral:rRNA from 1 species